rnacentral:tRNA from 1 species
GUCUGGGCGGCUGAGUCAGUUAAGCUUCUGACUUCAGCUCAGGUCAUGAUCGCAUACCUUGUGGGUUCAAGCCCCACAUCAGGCU